GAUGAAGAACGUAGUGAAAUGCGAUAAGUAAUGUGAAUUGCAGAAUUCAGUGAAUCAUCGAAUCUUUGAACGCACAUUGCGCCCGCCAGUAUUCUGGCGGGCAUGCCUGUUCGAGCGUCAUUUCAACCCUCAAGCCCCCGGGCUUGGUGUUGGGGAUCGGCGUGCCCUCGCGGCGCGCCGUCCCCUAAAUCUAGUGGCGGUCUCGCUGUAGCUUCCUCUGCGUAGUAGCAACACUCGCACUGGAUCGCAGCGCGGCCACGCCGUUAAACCCCCCACUUCUGAAAGUUUGACCUCGGAUCAGGUAGGAAUACCCGCUGAACUUAAGCAUAUCAAGCGGAGGA
rnacentral:misc_RNA from 1 species